rnacentral:rRNA from 1 species
UACGGAGGGUGCGAGCGUUGUCCGGAAUCACUGGGCGUAAAGGGCGCGUAGGCGGCGCGACAAGUCAACCGGUGAAAGCUCGGGGCUCAACCCCGGAUCGGCCUCGCGAACUGCAGGGCUCGAGCACUGUAGAGGCGGGUGGAAUUCCGGGUGUAGCGGUGGAAUGCGUAGAGAUCCGGAAGAACACCGGUGGCGAAGGCGGCCCGCUGGGCAGUGGCUGACGCUGGAGGCGCGACAGCUAGGGGAGCAAACGGG